GUUAAUGUAGCUUAAAUUAUCAAAGCAAAGCACUGAAAAUGCUUAGAUGGAUUGAAUCAAUCCCAUAAACA
rnacentral:tRNA from 1 species